CAAACCCCUGUGAACAUACCAAUUGUUGCCUCGGCGGAUCAGCCCGCUCCCGGUAAAACGGGACGGCCCGCCAGAGGACCCCUAAACUCUGUUUCUAUAUGUAACUUCUGAGUAAAACCAUAAAUAAAUCAAAACUUUCAACAACGGAUCUCUUGGUUCUGGCAUCGAUGAAGAACGCAGCAAAAUGCGAUAAGUAAUGUGAAUUGCAGAAUUCAGUGAAUCAUCGAAUCUUUGAACGCACAUUGCGCCCGCCAGUAUUCUGGCGGGCAUGCCUGUUCGAGCGUCAUUUCAACCCUCAAGCCCCCGGGUUUGGUGUUGGGGAUCGGCGAGCCUCACGGCAAGCCGGCCCCGAAAUACAGUGGCGGUCUCGCUGCAGCUUCCAUUGCGUAGUAGUAAAACCCUCGCAACUGGUACGCGGCGCGGCCAAGCCGUUAAACCCCCAACUUCUGAAUGUUGACCUCGGAUCAGGUAGGAAUACCC
rnacentral:rRNA from 1 species